UGUACACGCUGUGACUAGCAUAUCAAUAAGCGGAGGAAAAGAAACUAACAAGGAUUCCCCUAGUAACGGCGAGUGAAGCGGGAAGAGCUCAAAUUUGAAAUCUUAAAGGGUUUCCCUUUACGAAUUGUAGUUUAAAGAAGUGUUUUCUGUUGAGGUUUUGGUAAAAGUUCUUUGGAAUAGGACAUCAUAGAGGGUGAGAAUCCCGUAUUUGACCUUUACUUUCAACUUUGUGAUACACUUUCAAAGAGUCGAAUUGUUUGGGAAUGCAGUCCAAAAUGGGUGGUAAAUUUCAUCUAAAGCUAAAUAUUGGCGAGAGACCGAUAGCGAACAAGUACCGUGAGGGAAAGAUGAAAAGAACUUUGAAAAGAGAGUUAAACAGUACGUGAAAUUGUCAAAAGGGAAGCGUUUGACACCAGUGUUGUUUUUCUGAAAAUCAAUCAAAGAACUGUUUAUGCUAAGUUGUUUAGACUUUAUCAGCUAACUGUUUAGUUUUGAGCUUUUCUUUAAUGCACUUUUCAGUUAACAAGUCAACAUCAAUUUCUCUUUGCUGUAAAAAAGCUUGAGGAAGGUGGCUUGAGAUUCGUCUUAAGUGUUUAUAGCCUCUUGCCUAUGCAGUCGGAGAGAUUGAGGUCUGCAGCGUAGAUCCUUCGGGGCUAAAUGCAUUUGUGCUAGUUAUAGCAUUUUAUAGACAACUUGUUGACUAUGAUUUGUCUUGUAGCUUACUCGCUUAUGUUAUUUUACCUACGCUUAGGAUGUUGAAGAUGUAGCACAUCAU
rnacentral:rRNA from 1 species